UAACGCGUGGGAAUCUGCCCUUUUGUUCGGAAUAACGUUGGGAAACCGACGCUAAUACCGGAUACGCCCUACGGGGGAAAGAUUUAUCGCAGAAGGAGGGGCCCGCGUCGGAUUAGCUAGUUGGUGGGGUAAUGGCUUACCAAGGCGAUGAUCCGUAGGUGGUCUGAGAGGAUGAUCAGCCACACUGGGACUGAGACACGGCCCAGACUCCUACGGGAGGCAGCAGUGGGGGUUAUUGGACAAUGGGCGCAAGCCUGAUCCAGCAAUGCCGCGUGAAUUAUGAAGGCCUUAGGGUUGU
rnacentral:rRNA from 1 species